rnacentral:rRNA from 1 species
AGUGAACGCUGGCGGUAGGCCUAACACAUGCAAGUCGAACGGCAGCACAGUAAGAGCUUGCUCUUACGGGUGGCGAGUGGCGGACGGGUGAGGAAUACAUCGGAAUCUACUUUUUCGUGGGGGAUAACGUAGGGAAACUUACGCUAAUACCGCAUACGACCUACGGGUGAAAGCAGGGGAUCUUCGGACCUUGCGCGAUUGAAUGAGCCGAUGUCGGAUUAGCUAGUUGGCGGGGUAAAGGCCCACCAAGGCGACGAUCCGUAGCUGGUCUGAGAGGAUGAUCACCAACAUUGGAAGGGAGACGAGGCCCAGACUCCUAGGGGAGGAGGCGGGGGGAAAUUUUGGACAAGGGGCGCAAGCCUGACCCCCCCAUCCCGGGGGGGAGAAAAGGGCCUUGGGGUUAAAACCCCUUUUUGUGGGAAAAAAAAAGAAGCAGGUAAAUCCCCCGCUGUUCGGAGGUCCCCAAAAAAAAAGGCCCGGGCAACCUUCGCC